rnacentral:rRNA from 1 species
UACAGAGGGGGCGAGCGUUGUUCGGAAUUAUUGGGCGUAAAGGGCGCGUAGGCGGUGCGGUAAGUCACCUGUGAAACCUCUGGGCUUAACUCAGAGCCUGCAGGCGAAACUGCCGUGCUGGAGUGUGGGAGAGGUGCGUGGAAUUCCCGGUGUAGCGGUGAAAUGCGUAGAUAUCGGGAAGAACACCAGUGGCGAAGGCGGUCUGCUGGGCCGUUGCUGACGCUGAUGCGCGACAGCGUGGGGAGCAAACAGG